AUCUAUUUAGUAUAAUUAAGUACUAUAAGCUUCCAACUUAAAAGUUCCCUAGAAUUAGAUA
rnacentral:tRNA from 1 species